UUCCUACGGGGGCAGCAGUGGGGAAUCUUGGACAAUGGGGGCAACCCUGAUCCAGCCAUGCCGCGUGUGUGAAGAAGGCCUUCGGGUUGUAAAGCACUUUCAGUAGGGAGGAAGGCUUAUCCUUAAUACGGAUGAGUACUUGACGUUACCUACAGAAGAAGCACCGGCUAAUUUCGUGCCAGCAGCCGCGGUAAUACGAAAGGUGCAAGCGUUAAUCGGAAUUACUGGGCGUAAAGCGCGCGUAGGCGGUUUGCUAAGUCAGAUGUGAAAGCCCCGGGCUCAACCUGGGAACUGCAUUUGAAACUGGCAGGCUAGAAUGCAGUAGAGGGAGGUGGAAUUUCCGGUGUAGCGGUGAAAUGCGUAGAGAUCGGAAGGAACACCAGUGGCGAAGGCGGCCUCCUGGACUGACAUGACGCUGAGUG
rnacentral:rRNA from 1 species